UACGUAGGGGCCGAGCGUUGUCCGGAGUUAUUGGGCGUAAAGCGCGCGCAGGCGGCCUCGCGCGCCCGACGUGAAAGCCCCCGGCUUAACCGGGGAGAGUCGUUGGGGACGGCGGGGCUUGAGGGCGGGAGAGGUCGGUGGAAUUCCCGGUGUAGUGGUGAAAUGCGUAGAGAUCGGGAGGAACACCUGUGGCGAAGGCGGCCGACUGGGCCGACCCUGACGCUGAGGCGCGAAGGCGUGGGGAGCGAACGGGAUUAGAAACCCCCGUAGUCC
rnacentral:rRNA from 1 species